rnacentral:ncRNA from 1 species
CGGGCGGGAGAGACCUGGUCCACCAGGCGCCGAAGGAGCAAUCUCCCCGACAACCUCUCAGGCAGCAGGACCGCUCGGGGA